GCUCAACCAGUGCCUUCACAGCAAUUUUGGGAAGGCUGGGGUCUCACCUUCAGGAGUUCAUGGCCUGGCUGCUUGUAUAUCUUCUCCAUCACUUCAAUCACCAUGACCAGGCCCGUGGUCUCCUCCAAAAAACUGUAAAUAAACCAGGAACCAGAGCCAGCUUCUUCAGCCCUGCAGGAAUGUCAUUGUUGGAAGUUAAGCUGCAGCUCCGGCCGCGCGAGACGCCUGCAGCUCCCGAGCUGCAAGAAGUGAGUCGAUGGAGGAAAUGAAUCAUGCAGCACCGAGGAAAAAAAAUGAGAGAAGUGCUUCAGAUGUCCUUGUACAUUGCAGGAAAUGAAGCUACGCUGACCAGUCUCUAAAUUCACUAUCUGCCUCCUUCCCCCUUUUUAAGAUGAGCAAACUUGACCUCUUUCUCCAGCGACUUCCCCACCGUCCCCCACCACUUCUGACGUCGCCUCGGCCACCUCUCUGACCCCGUGCCUUGUUGCCAUGAACUCACAAUGAUUGGAAAACCUCUAAUUCAGCUGAGAGGAUGCUGAGCUCCUUUUUUAUCUCUGCUGCAGAUGCAAUUUUGGCACCCCGGUGUGGUACCUGUGGUUAUUAUACACGGUACUGAUCAGUACCAAUGGAUGAGUUAACUCUAAGGUCACAGCAAGCCUUUUCAUGAAGGCUAAAAUAAAAGAAAAUGUUCUUUCCCAUUCCACACAGGCACGGUAACAAUUUGGCCUCGUUUCAAGCUUUUUGGGGUCUCUGCAGAACGGCGGGUUUUUAUAUCAUCUGUGUAGCUGCUACGAUGCUGCAGCUCUGGCUUUCCUCGGGCAUGGCCUUUGCACAUCAGGGUGAGCUCUUCUGCCUUAGGACUUCUCUAAAUUACAAGUUAAAUAUAUAUACAAACACACCUCCAAAAACCAGAAGGGAAGAUGAAGAAAAAAAUAAAUAAUUUUAAAAAAAGGACAAAUAAAACCAAGGAAGCGAAUGUAGAGAAAAAAAAUGACAGUGAGGGGAAUUCACGUUGCAGUCCUCCUUUCUGCUUCAAAAGGGGAAUAAAGUGGCUGUGAUGGGGCCCCGAUUCCCUGCGUGACACAGACUGGGCUUGGAAAUCUUAAAUAAAGGGAAAAUGAUGGAAGAAGGGCUGCGAUUAAAAAAUAAAGGGGAAAAUUAUGGAAGAAGGGCUGUGAUUAAAACUUAAAUAAAGGGAAAAUGAUGGAAGAAAGGCUGCAAUUCUCAUCACUGGCUCCAGAACUUUUCCUUCCACAAAAUCCAACCCUUUGCUUUUAAU